UCUCUCCCUCCUACGAAUUGCAGGGAGAACUGUGCAAUGCCACCAACACCUGCCCACAUGGCUUACCAGGACCAAAGUGGAGACCUCCAUCUAAUGGCAGACUUUGCACCUGUUACAGCUCUGACAAUCUUUUACAUCAUUCCCAUUGUAACUCCUGCGGAGGAAUGAAUGUGUCCCAUAAAACUUUUCAGAUGAAAGAAACCUAUAGGCUGUCUGGUGCAUGUCAGACCAUGUGAGGUUGAAAACACAUGGUAAUAAUCCUGAAAACAAAUUAUAUCAAUUGAAGGAGUGACUCGCACAGCAUAAUAUGUUUUCUAACUAAUUAAGACCUUGAGCAAAAGGGUGUCUCGUAUUCUCCAGGCAGUCUAAGAAAUUGUAUAAAAGCGCUCACAACUCCAGGCUCCUUAACAACUUCUCUUGACUUAUCCUCUUCAGCGACCGGGGUUUACCUCCGACACAGAAAGAUGACUUUUGACGAAAACUUUAGUGAUGAAUUGUAUUACAAGCCCUACCACUAUGGGGGCUGGGGUGGUUCCAGAGGUUACGGCUACUGUAGGCCAUGGUAUUACCAAAGGCCGUACAAGUGUUGUUGGGGCUAUCCCAAAGGCUGUUGGUACCCUUACCCUUGCCAUUGGGGCUGGGGGCACGGCUAUGGAAAGGGUUGGCCAUGUUUCGCCGAGGAGGAAUAGACCCGGAAUGUGGAAAGACCUGGAAACAUUAAGCAAGAUUCACAGAUGAGUUUGUGGGCAAUAGGUUUGAGAAAUGCAGAGUGCCCUCAACUCCCAUGGGUGCUGUGAGUGCUCAGCAUCUCAGUAAAUCUGCCCCAUAUCUCUAUUUCCUCGGUUACACUGGUUGACUGUUUCCUCUACUGCCUUCCAGACUCUCUGCUUCUUCUAGAAAAACGUGUUUGGGUGUGAAUCUUAAUUCCAUGAAGGCCCCUUUAGGUCACGCUGACACAGUAAAUGAAGCAGGCUCCUUACAAAGUCCUGCAAAGGGGUCUUAGUGUCAAUGAGAAUCAAGCCCUACGUGUUCUAGUCCUUUUAUGCAUUUGUGCCAUUUGUUUCUGCUUUCAACUUUGCUUUAUUUGUUGUUUACUGGAGAAGUAGUUUCGUCCUUGGUUUUAGUUGUGCUUUGUCUCAUUUGAUUCUGACUGUGAUGAAACUAAUACCUUAAAAUGGUUGCAAAGAGAACUUGACUGUAAAAUCUACAGCUGUGAUGAAGAAUGAAGAACAUCUGGCUUGAAAUGCAUCACCUUGGAGCCAGUGACUCAUUGUAGCCCUUCUUGAUACCUUGGAGAUAUUAUUUUAAUACUGAAUUCUUUGUGUCGCUUUCUGUGUACUUGUAUUCCGAUUCACAUUAAAAUGCUUCUGAAUCAUAA